AUGGCUGCUCUCCUCAUUUCCCAGGUGGACGCGGAACUGUGGACGGGAGGCAGCAGAAUGGUGUACAAAGUGCUGAGGCUUAAACAGUCCUCCCUAAACACUGAUAAGUACUGGAGUCAAAAACAUUUCACCGCUGAAUGUCACCCACUGGGAACAUGUGCUCGGCUUAUGAAAAUGGAACAGGACCCUUUUUCCACAUUUCUCAGAGUGAGGGUCCCCAGGCACUCAGGAGCAUCAAGAGCAACACGAGCAGGAAGUGACGCAGGGCAGACGCGGAGAGUGCUGCGCAUGUCCCCUGCCCACUCCAGUGCUCGAAGGAAGGAUGUGUAACCUCACAUGCCUUUGUUAAUCUGUGUUCUUUUACAAAAGUCAGAUCCUGGUGUCCCUCAGAUGUUCCUGUGAUGAGGUCCUGCGGCUGACAAGACAGGCAUGCGGCCGAGGACAGAGGCGUGACUGCUCUGCUUGGUUGGAUGGGAUCGAUCCAUUCACUUUUCUAGGAUUGUUUAGUGAGUACCUACUGCGUAGCCAGCUCUCUUCUCGGCCCGGGGCAUACAGAGGACAGAUUUCAGUGCCUGACCUCAUUGAGAUUAAGUUGCUAAGAGGGGAGAUAGUUAUAAUGCAGGAGCAAACAUGUAGCAUGCUAACACGUAACGAGUUCUAUGUAAAAAGAUGAAACAGAGUGAAGGUGGAUAUUUUACAAGUGGUCAUAAAAGUCUUCAUUGAUAAAAUGUGAUAUUUGAGUGGAGACCUGAAGUAAGUGAAACCCGUGGCUAUGGAGAGAAAGAUCAUUCCCAGGAGAAAGCACUGCUCAGGCACUUGGUCUGCUGUGGAUGCUGCCAGUGGUGCACAGGGCUCCACAUGAGAACUGACUUCUGAAUAAGAACGCUUGAUCGCAGUUCUGUGUGCAGUCAGGUGUAGCAAAACAAUGGGAUGGUCCACAGCGAUUGCUUAGGUGAUGAUGGCCCUGUAAGAGAUAAUAGAGCUGAAAGCGAUCACCUGGAGACGCCGAAGCCACCGAAGCAUGACGUGAUGCUGUGUUGCUCCUGGGUUUGUGCUGAUGCUGGCGUGGGCAGAGACCUGCUCACCGCUCGUCGCAUAGGAUACAGCGCAUACAGUUCUAUACAGCGCACAGUGCUGAUCACUGGGGUAAACACGACCCUGCUCGCUCAGGAUCUACUCUAAUUCUGUUGUAUUUUACAGCGUCGUCUACUUAUAAAUAAAAUAGUCUCCUGGAAAACAGUUUCCUGUGUUGCUGGGUCUGUGUAGCACUCUGUGAUGUUCACCCAGAAGUCCCUGCCAGUGCAUUUCUCAGAACUCACACCACUGACAUGACCGGGGCAGUAAUAGCAAUUGACAAGGAUGUCAAAAUCCCUGGGCCAUUAUUUUUUCACCUAAAGAAAGUGGAUAUGUGCCACUUUCUUCUUGUAAAGAAGACUCAUCUUUUGAUUAGAAAGAUAAGGGGGAACCGUGCUAAAUUUAAUAAAUGUUAUCUAUUAUAAAGAAACGUGCAUUUCAUAGGCUUUUGCAUUUUCUGUAAUAAAAUUUCAAUAUGAAAUGGACCGGGAGUAUUGGACAGAAACAUUCUUCUAAAUACUAGUUGAAGUUUAUAACGAGCAGAGCUAUUUCUUUUUCUGUGUAAUCCCAC
ensembl:lincRNA